AUGUGUAUUAAAAAUAGUUAAAGGAUUAAAUCUAAUAGUGGAAAACUCGAUAGUAUCAAGCGCUUGAUACUAUCGAUAUUAUUCCGGCCUAGUUCUAUAUAUAUAUUUAUAUAUAGAGAGCUAUACUAUCGGUAGCACGGAGGCCUCCGUGCUACCAAGUUGUUUUCAAUGAUACGGCUUUCAAAUCAACGAUCGGCUUCAUUAGACUUGAUCUAUUGAAAGUAUUUGGAAACUAAAUUUCAUAAAUUUUUGGCAUCAUUUACCUAUCAAACGAGUAAUCUAAAAAUGACCUUCGUGCUACCAAAUUAUUUUCAAUGAUGCGGUCUUCAAAUCAACGAUCGGCUCUAUUAGACUUGAUCUAUACUAUUGAAAGUAUUUGGAAACUAAAUUUCAUAAAUCUUCGGCAUCAUUUACCUAUCAAACGAGUAGUCUAAAAAUGAACGGUUAAAAAUAAAAAUCUUCUAAAAAAUUAUGAUAAAAGACUUGAAUUUAAAAUCAGAGGUACUGAUCUUACUCUAAAUAGUGAAAAAAAAAAUUUAUAAAAAUUUCAUCAGAUUUGAAUUGUUUUACACCGUUAAAUUUACAAACGCAUCAUAUCUAGUUUUCAAUGAUGCGGUUUUCAAAUCAACGAUCGGCUCCAUUAGACUUGAUCUAUACUAUUAAAAGUAUUUGGAAACUAAAUUUCAUAAAUUUUCGGCAUCAUUCACCUAUCAAACGAGUAGUCUAAAAAUGAACGGCUGAAAAUAAAAAUCUCCUAAACAAUUAUGAUAAAAGACUUAAAUUUAAAAUCAGAGAUACUGAUCUUACUCUAAAUAAUGAAAAAAAAAAUUUAUAAAAAUUUCAUCAGAUUUGAAUUGUUUUACACCGUUAAAUUUACAAACGCAUCAUAUCUACUAUUAAAAUUGUUAUUUUUGAGACCUUUUGAUCACUAGCCAAAUAAUGUCCAAAAAUUAUGAAAUUUAGUUUCCGAAUAUUCUGAAUAGUGUAGAUCAAGUCUAACGGAGUCGAUCGUCGAUUUGAAAGCCACAUCAUUGAAAACAACCUGAUAGCAUGGAGGUCUCCGUGGAUAGUAUACCGGACUAACUCUAUAUAUACAGAGAGAGAGAGAGUCCGGCUGACAUACUAUCGAUAGCAUGAGGUAUUUGGUGCUAUCAAGUUAUCUGCUGUCACAGCCCGCGACCACUCGCUUAUUUGGCCGAGGUCGCGGCGCCGACAGCGCCGAACGGACAAGGUUU
rnacentral:lncRNA from 1 species